CUUCAGGAUUAAUAAUAUUAUUAUAAUACUGAAAUUCGUGUCUUGCCAUUCUUCAGUUUGAAUUGACGCCAUGAUUUUGAAUUGC
rnacentral:sRNA from 1 species